GUGGGGAAUAUUGCGCAAUGGGCGAAAGCCUGACGCAGCGACGCCGCGUGGGGGAUGAAGGUUUUCGGAUUGUAAACCCCUUUCGAUCGGAAAGAAUAUCCUCCGGGUAAAUAAUCCGGAGGAUUGACGGUACCGAGAGAAGAAGCCACGGCUAACUCUGUGCCAGCAGCCGCGGUAAGACAGAGGUGGCAAGCGUUGUUCGGAUUUAUUGGGCGUAAAGCGCACGCAGGCGGUUUGGUAAGUCAGGGGUGAAAGUCCACAGCCCAACUGUGGAAUUGCCUUUGAUACUGCCUUUCUCGAGUGCAUGAGGGGGAAGCGGAAUUCCGGGUGUAGAGGUGAAAUUCGUAGAUAUCCGGAGGAACACCGGUGGCGAAGGCGGCUUCCUGGCAUGUAACUGACGCUCAGGUGCGAAAGCGUGGGGAGCAAACAGGAUUAGAUACCCCUGUAGUCC
rnacentral:rRNA from 1 species